CUCGCAGGAACUCUUCCAAAGUCACUAGUCGGUCCUUGUUGACGUCAACCUAUUAGAAGAAAAAAAAAUCAUACUCAACCUAAAGGAUGAAUUUUGCUGGAGACAACAUUUAAAAUUAUUCAUUAUGUAUCGUGAGCUGCUGUCAACUAGCUCACCAUGAGUGUCAACAUGAUGUCGCUGGACUGUUUGCUUGCAAUAGGAGCGUGAGACCAAGCUCUCGGCAGCUAAAAAACUGCCUGAGGAUGACAAAGCACGGGGUCUGACAGGUACGUGAGGCAAUGCACUGACUCCUGUGGAGGUCUGGUCAGCACUGUCUAACUACUGGUGGACUGUACUCUCUGGACUAGAACUUCCAGGAAGAGAAAAGUAAAGGCAGAAAGGUGAUCUUGAAGCUCUCAAACGCUGUAUCAUUAUUCAUUAAUUGUACUACAGCCGCACCAAAAAAA